CAUAAAUAAUCGGAUCGAUGGGAUAGCCACUAAAAUUUCUCUGGUAUAAAAGAAGCUCGCUAUAAAGCAGCGUUUCACAUGCCCCUUCCAUGAUACACGUGGAGUAGAAUUGCGCGAAAGCAGUGGUGGGACGUGUUAAACGGCACAACAUGGAUGCCAUCACGAACCCGCAGGAUCAACUGUCGCGACAGUGGUUCGACGAAGUACGAGAAUCGUCCCUCGUUCUUCGAAUCUCACGCGUCGUUUGCUCGAACGGUUCGGUUAAAGUCGCGAGCAGACGUCAUUAUGCGGCAAGACAUAGUCGUUUGAAACUUAUUCACCGCGUCUGCUACGGCUCGUCGCCCUUUUUCUCCUUUUUUUUUUUUUUUCCCUUUCUUUUUUUAUUUAAAAAAGGAAACCGUCGCGCGAGCGUUCCACCGAUACUCGACGACGACGACGACGACACGACACCUAUUGAAACGUGCGUGCGCUCAUUAACGCGCGAUGAAAUCGAGGAGAGAUCUCAGCCACCGGUCGGAUACUGUACGGUGGUUAGGUUAUGGAUCGACAACAUCGACGAUGCAAGAGAAGCGGCCCCGCAAAGAAUUCUCGAUUCGCUCGCUAGGGGGACUAGAUGCUUUGGAAGGUGGUCGAGAAAAGAUGGGUUUGAAAAAGAUAUUUAAUUUGAUGGAAUAAAAUGUGAUCUAUGGUGGUGAUACAAGGAUCGAGAGGUCGAUUCGAAAUUCACAAUUUUUGGAUCACAAGGUUAGGAAAAGAUAUUGAUAAAAGGAUAUUUAUAUCGAUGAAAAUAAACGUGAUUUCAUAAAUGGGCACAAUUUAAUUAUUGAAAUUAAGAAUAAAGUUGCUUCGAUAAAUUCAAUAAUUAAUUAUUCGAAGUAUCGAAUAACCGUAAAUAACUGUAUCAAUAUGGCUGUUAUUAUGAAUGGAUCGGCUAUGAUGGCUUUGGAUAAAUAUUAAAUAAAUAUUAAAUCGAGCAUUUUAAUUACUA